rnacentral:rRNA from 1 species
GAUGAACGCUAGCGGCAGGCUUAACACAUGCAAGUCGAGGGGUAUAGGUUUUCGGACCUAGAGACCGGCGCACGGGUGCGUAACGCGUAUGCAAUCUACCUUUCACAGAGGGAUAGCCCAGAGAAAUUUGGAUUAAUACCUCAUAGUAUAGCAGUUUCGCAUGAAACCACUAUUAAAGUAUCAACGGUGAAAGAUGAGCAUGCGUCCCAUUAGCUAGAUGGUAAGGUAACGGCUUACCAUGGCUACGAUGGGUAGGGGUCCUGAGAGGGAGAUCCCCCACACUGGUACUGGGACACGGACCAGACUCCUACGGGAGGCAGCAGUGAGGAAUAUUGGUCAAUGGACGCAAGUCUGAACCAGCCAUGCCGCGUGCAGGAUGACGGUCCUAUGGAUUGUAGACUGCUUUUGUACGAGAAGAAACAACAUUACGUGUAAUGUCUUGACGGUAUCGUAAGAAUAAGGAUCGGCUAACUCCGUGCCAGCCGCCGCGGUAAGAC